UGGGGAAUCUUAGACAAUGGGCGCAAGCCUGAUCUAGCCAUGCCGCGUGAGUGAUGAAGGCCUUAGGGUCGUAAAGCUCUUUCGCCAGGGAUGAUAAUGACAGUACCUGGUAAAGAAACCCCGGCUAACUCCGUGCCAGCAGCCGCGGUAAUACGGAGGGGGUUAGCGUUGUUCGGAAUUACUGGGCGUAAAGCGCGCGUAGGCGGAUUAGUCAGUUAGAGGUGAAAUCCCAGGGCUCAACCCUGGAACUGCCUUUAAUACUGCUAGUCUUGAGUUCGAGAGAGGUGAGUGGAAUUCCGAGUGUAGAGGUGAAAUUCGUAGAUAUUCGGAGGAACACCAGUGGCGAAGGCGGCUCACUGGCUCGAUACUGACGCUGAGGUGCGAAAGUGUGGGGAGCAAACAGGAUUAGAUACCCUGGUAGUCCACACCGUAAACGAUGAAUGCCAGUCGUCGGGUAGUAUACUAUUCGGUGACACACCUAACGGAUUAAGCAUUCCGCCUGGGGAGUACGGUCGCAAGAUUA
rnacentral:rRNA from 1 species